AUGAGUAGCGCACUUGAUGACUCAAAGACAACAGACGCAAGUAUGGACCACGAACUUUACACUGUACAGAGUCCCUCUGAGGACAUUAAGGAUGGCCCAGAUCAUGCAGAAUUCAUUUAUAAAAUGUCAAAUGAAGAAUUCGUUAGAUUCGUGAAGUUGCGCGUGACCAACGACUCACUUUUCACUGGAAAGAGAAAUUCUUCAACUCUGGCUUAUAGGGCCAUCUUGAAAGAGCUGGGUCUGCAAAGGGAAAUUUCUGCCAGCCAGGCCAGGAGGAAAUGGGAAAACCUUAAGAUGAAGUAUAAGGUAUGUUAAUGCCAUGUUGUGAGUGUCCCCAGCACAGCCCCCCAGCAUUGCACAUUUUGGAUAUUGCCCAUAUUUAGCACACCUCAUUCAACUUAUA
ensembl:lncRNA